rnacentral:snRNA from 1 species
UCACUUACUCGGUGCUGGGAGUCUGCCGAUCAAGAAUGGCAGCUCUCCGGUUGGGGCUCAAGUCACUGCACUUCGACUAGGUCCCUCCGUCACUUCUCCAACUUGGUGAAGAUGGAGCACUAAAAUUUUUUUCUGUUGCUACCUGCGGCUAGCAC